UCACAUUGUGUGUCUUUAUUCUUCUCGUAUGCUCGGGAAUAAAAGAAGAAUAAAGAAAUAGAAUGUAAAUCCGUUAUGGAAAAUACACCCACGCAAAAAAUGAAGCGCUUUAUCUUGGAUGCAGAGCAACCUAUGCCAAAGGAACAGCCAAUAUCGCGUAAUAAGAAAUUGGCUAACUAAAAUCAAAAAUUGACGUUCUAACGGAAGCUGUGGCGGAGGCGGUGACCCUUAUUAUAUUGCAAGAUAAAAAAAAUUACGGAACCUAGUGGGGACGAGACCAUCUAUGUCCAACUGCCUAAGAAAUGUGCUGCACGAGAGGCUGAUGUUGGCGUAUUAUUUGGAUGAAGCCUCGGAAGAAGUUUCAAGAAAUCGGCGGUAAAGUUGAAGAAUGAAAGAUCAAAAAACCCAGAUGAAUAUUAAAUUUUCUUGAAUUUAACAGAUUGAAAAACA
rnacentral:sRNA from 1 species